UACGUAGGGUGCAAGCGUUGUCCGGAAUUAUUGGGCGUAAAGAGCUCGUAGGCGGUCUGUCGCGUCUGCUGUGAAAACUCGGGGCUUAACCCCGGGCCUGCAGUGGGUACGGGCAGACUAGAGUGCGGUAGGGGAGACUGGAAUUCCUGGUGUAGCGGUGAAAUGCAUUGAGAUCGGAAAGAACACCAACGGCGAAAGCACUCUGCUGGGCCGACACUGACACUGAGAGACGAAAGCUAGGGGAGCAAAUGGG
rnacentral:rRNA from 1 species